rnacentral:sRNA from 1 species
CUGCCAUUUCUAUUGUGCAGGUUGGAAGUUUGCUCCCACUAACUCCCAGCUUCCAGAUAACAAAUCUUAUUCUCUUUUGUCCUCACUGGUAAAAGUGGACCUAUGGAGUUUCUGGGAUUCUGUUGGCUAGAAGCGUUAAGGAUUGAGAGCGUGAGGCUAACACAUCCACAGGAGGAACACCCUGAGUUUUCCCUCUGCUUAGGCAGGAUGUUUGUACAGCUUCAAAUGCUCUGAACAUUGGAACUUGACAUUUCGAAAUAGGAUCAGUGAGGUCUGCUUGUGCCAGUAUUUGAACUGGGAAAGAAUAGGGCAUCUCUGGACUCAGCAGCCCCUGCUCCAAUCCCAGGACUAAUUGACAAAGCCAUGUGGAAACAAGGCAGCCAGGAGGAUUUAGCUAAUCUCCUCUGCCCUUUGUGUUAGUUCUGAGCAGACAAGAGCCUGCCGGGUUGCUGCUUCCAGAGUAAGAUCUGUGCACCGGGAGGGGGUGGGGGUGUUGUCAGAGAACACUGCUCAGGGAUAGAGUGCUUGCAUAGACCUGGGGUUCAAUCUUCAGCACCAUAGAAAGAAAAGAAGAAGAAAAAAAAAUCAGCAUGUACAAGCUUAAUGAGGGAAACACAUUCUAGUAUUCUGAACUUCAGCGUAUUCCUGGAGCCCCAGCAGUAAACAGUGUUUGAUUUUAAUCCAGAUCUAAAACUGCAAACAUCCGCAUGUUUUCAUUGCAUAUCCUCAACGCGUAGCAUUUUAUUUAGCUUUGUACUUCUAAAUCCCAUUCAUGACUUUUUGUUUUGGGUUUCCUAACACUGUUCCCCGGGACAGGAAAUGUCAGCCAUGGGCACUCCAUGAGCAGCCCCUCCAUUUUGGUCAAACAGUUCCCGGAAGUAAAGCAACUGUGCUUUGUAGAUUCUUAACCCUAUCCUCAGGAAUGGCUAGCCGUGAGAGCAGCUGAGUUUCUUUAAUCCACCUGUCAUGUCAUUCCCACAGCUACCCCUAGCCAUUGCCUACUGUAGGCCAGAAUAAAAAGAAGUUUUCAGCUCCCACUCCCUUUCCCCUAUUUCUGGGAAGAGUCAGUUAUGCUAGAAUUCUUUCUGAGGUGACUGGAUUUUUUAAUCAGUAGCCAGGAGUUCCCUUUGACCCUCUUCAUUACAAAACGUCCUGGGUGUUUUCCAUGCCUUAGAGAGGAAGCCAGGCUGAUCACACAGCCACAGAGAGGUGCCUUUCUCCUGUCUUUGGGAGAAGACGCUGCCAAUCCUACCGUGCACUUCGGACAUUUGCUCCCACUGAAGCUAAUUCUCAUUCUUUUGCCUUUGCUGGUGAACAUGGACCUGUGUCUCCUGGAAUUUCUGGGAUUCUGUGUGCUACAAGCUUUAGGGAGUGACAGCAGAAGACUGAUAAACCCCCAGGAGGAACACCUUGAGUCUUCCUGCAAGAGAACUCUUGAGUGCUUUGCAGGGGUUAAAGAUCCUUUCUUCAAAGAUGGUCCCAUGCUGAGCUGCUGGUGUUGAAGAUAUAAACACACGAAUUUUGAGGGGGACACAACUUAGUUCAUAACAACUCGACUACACCUUCUUUAUCGCUACAGUGGGCACCAGAGGAGCUCAUGGCUGAGGUCUCAACAAAGCUGUCACUGGAGUUCCCUGCAAUUUGCAUGCAGCUCUACCAGCAACUGCUUACAUAAUCUGAGGGAGAGAACGCCAUAGCCUCCUAUCUUUUGUGAGCAUCCACAGUCUUCUAAGAUUUGCAAACUUUCUGAGUGGUGGGAACCUUCUCCAGGAUGGACUGUCUUCAAACUGGAGGAAACAGCCCCUCAACUGAUGCCUUCUGCCAUGUGCCCCUGAUUAGAUGCUCCUGGGUUUGUACAGACUUCCCAGGCCUCCAAAGCUGGGAAUAAAAGCUACAUUUCUCUCUAUAAAUAACCCUGCUGUGAUUUCUGUUGACAUGACUUCCCCAUUGACGUUCCUGUAACUGACAGGCAUUUCCCCACCUCUUGCUUCAGAGACAACUUCCUAAAUGGAGGUUUCCUUCCUAGAUGU